rnacentral:rRNA from 1 species
AUUGAACGCUGGCGGAAUGCUUUACACAUGCAAGUCGAACGGCAGCACGGACCUCGGUCUGGUGGCGAGUGGCGAACGGGUGAGUAAUAUAUCGGAACGUAUCCAAUAAUGGGGGAUAACUAAUCGAAAGGUUGGCUAAUACCGCAUACGUCCUACGGGAGAAAGCUAGGGACCUUCGGGCCUGGCGUUAAUGGAGCGGCCGAUAUCUGAUCAGCUAGGUGGUGAGGUAAAGGCUCACCAAGGCGACGAUCAGUAGCUGGUCUGAGAGGACGACCAGCCACACUGGAACUGAGACACGGUCCAGACUCCUACGGGAGGCAGCAGUGGGGAAUUUUGGACAAUGGGCGCAAGCCUGAUCCAGCCAUUCCGCGUGAGUGAAGAAGGCCUUCGGGUUGUAAAGCUCUUUCGCAAGGGAAGAAAACUUAUCCUCUAACAUAGGGUGAGGUUGACGGUACCUUGAUAAGAAGCACCGGCUAACUACGUGCCAGCCGCCGCAGUAAAAC